AGGGCGCUAGAGGCCACAGAAAAAGGUGCAAGGAUUACAGAAACGGCGGCAAAGUUCACCGGAAGGAGAUCGCUGGCGCCCGGCGGGGACUGCUACUCUGCUCGCCAACGCCAAUCUCAGCCUGCUGAACUCUGAUCAGGAACCCCUUUUUCUGAUGGAAGAAGCAACCUAGGUGGAAAACGAGACUAACACAGCACACCAUGAUUCUAAUUCCAAUAAGUAAAUUUUCCUGAUUUUUUUCUUGUCCUCCUGAAGUUCGACACAGUGUGAAAUCUGUAGUGAUUCCCUGCAUAGUAGUGAAAUCUGUAGAUUCAAGAGAUACAUUGUUGUCCUCAUGUGAUUAUUUCCAAGGCAUGGAGUAAUACUUAUGACUCAUUACCAUGUUCUGUAUUUUGUAGAAUUACCUUAGCACCUAAGCCCUGUUGGUCCCAAUCACCACUACUGUUUGCUUAUUCUCUUGUAAUAAUCUUUUUCCGAAGGUAUUA